GAUGAACGCUGGCGGCGUGCCUAAUACAUGCAAGUCGAGCGAACGGACGAGAAGCUUGCUUCUCUGAUGUUAGCGGCGGACGGGUGAGUAACACGUGGAUAACCUACCUAUAAGACUGGGAUAACUUCGGGAAACCGGAGCUAAUACCGGAUAAUAUUUUGAACCGCAUGGUUCAAAGGUGAAAGACGGUCUUGCUGUCACUUAUAGAUGGAUCCGCGCCGCAUUAGCUAGUUGGUAAGGUAACGGCUUACCAAGGCAACGAUGCAUAGCCGACCUGAGAGGGUGAUCGGCCACACUGGAACUGAGACACGGUCCAGACUCCUACGGGAGGCAGCAGUAGGGAAUCUUCCGCAAUGGGCGAAAGCCUGACGGAGCAACGCCGCGUGAGUGAUGAAGGUCUUCGGAUCGUAAAACUCUGUUAUUAGGGAAGAACAUAUGUGUAAGUAACUGUGCACAUCUUGACGGUACCUAAUCAGAAAGCCACGGCUAACUACGUG
rnacentral:rRNA from 1 species